GUAGGUGAACCUGCGGAAGGAUCAUUAACAACUACGUGUUCUACACGUAUACCUUUUUACCCCCAUGAACUUUUCUACUAAUUUCAAAAGUCUUCUUUCCGAACGAAUGUGCUUGUCUUGUUUGCUGCUGUCUUUUUUCCUUCGGGAUAAAAUUACAUCAUCUCACAAAGCAAAGCGCAUUUUUUCAGAAGGUUUACUUUAUUUCAAUGUUAUACAACUCUUAGCAACGGAUAUCUCGGUUCUC
rnacentral:misc_RNA from 1 species